rnacentral:rRNA from 1 species
CAGCCAUGCCGCGUGCGUGAAGACGGCCCUAUGGUUGGAAAAGUCUUUUUAUAUGGGAAGAAACCUUGGUACGUGUACCUUAUUGACGGGACUAUACCAAU